rnacentral:rRNA from 1 species
UACGUAGGGUGCGAGCGUUGUCCGGAAUUAUUGGGCGUAAAGAGCUCGUAGGCGGCUUGUCGCGUCGACUGUGAAAACCCGAGGCUCAACUUCGGGCUUGCAGUCGAUACGGGCAGGCUAGAGUUCGGUAGGGGAGACUGGAAUUUACGGUGUAGCAGUGAAAUGCGUAGAUAUCGUAAGGAAGACCAGUGGCGAAGGCGAGUCUCUGGACAGCAACUGACGCUGAGGCACGAAGGCCAGGGGAGCAAACGGG